CGAAACCAGGUGAUCUACCCUUGGUCAGGUUGAAGUUCAGGUAACACUGAAUGGAGGACCGAACCGACUUACGUUGAAAAGUGAGCGGAUGAACUGAGGGUAGCGGAGAAAUUCCAAUCGAACCUGGAGAUAGCUGGUUCUCUCCGAAAUAGCUUUAGGGCUAGCCUCAAGUGAUGAUUAUUGGAGGUAGAGCACUGUUUGGACGAGGGGCCCCUCUCGGGUUACCGAAUUCAGACAAACUCCGAAUGCCAAUUAAUUUAACUUGGGAGUCAGAACAUGGGUGAUAAGGUCCGUGUUCGAAAGGGAAACAGCCCAGACCACCAGCUAAGGUCCCAAAAUAUAUGUUAAGUGGAAAAGGAUGUGGCGUUGCCCAGACAACUAGGAUGUUGGCUUAGAAGCAGCCAUCAUUUAAAGAGUGCGUAAUAGCUCACUAGUCGAGUGACACUGCGCCGAAAAUGUACCGGGGCUAAACAUAUUACCGAAGCUGUGGAUUGUCCUUUGGACAAUGGUAGGAGAGCGUUCUAAGGGCGUUGAAGCAUGAUCGUAAGGACAUGUGGAGCGCUUAGAAGUGAGAAUGCCGGUGUGAGUAGCGAAAGACGGGUGAGAAUCCCGUCCACCGAUUGACUAAGGUUUCCAGAGGAAGGCUCGUCCGCUCUGGGUUAGUCGGGUCCUAAGCUGAGGCCGACAGGCGUAGGCGAUGGAUAACAGGUUGAUAUUCCUGUACCACCUAUAAUCGUUUUAAUCGAUGGGGGGACGCAGUAGGAUAGGCGAAGCGUGCGAUUGGAUUGCACGUCUAAGCAGUAAGGCUGAGUAUUAGGCAAAUCCGGUACUCGUUAAGG
rnacentral:rRNA from 1 species